GCAGAAUGUCGAACGAGUAGUUUCUCGAUGCACGAAGAAUGUGAGAGACCGCAGUUAAGGAGCUAAGUUGCAUUUCCUCGGUCCAUCAUGUCAUCAAUCCUCCCCUCCAUCGUAAUGUGGACUCUCGUACCGCUUCUGAUCUCCGAUCACGUCCGAUGCAAAAACAUCAAUACUUAUGCCGGGCCGUUCAUCGCUUAUGUCCAUUCGGCUACGAUGUGCCCAUCGGAUAGAACCAUUUCGCAUUUCGUCCGCUUUUCCCACUUCAACCCAGUCCGACCUUUCGAUCUUCAAAAAAUGUGGGGAAAUGUGACAUUCAAUUUAAAUUUUACGGACAAUUUUUGGUCACGGAUUGAUUGGGCACUACGAGCGAACAACCAAUGGAAAGAAAACUUCUACAUCAUGGAUUUCCCUAAAACCGGAUGCAGCGCAUUGCGUGAUCACAUACCCGACCUUUUCCGGACACUAGCGAAACUCAGCGGGGCACCGACGGACAAGAGGACAGCCUGUGUCAUUCCUGCGGGAUUCUAUGAAUUCAUCAACGAACCAGUCAGCUGGCUUCUUCCACCCCUGACCGUGUUGCCUUAUGGACGCUACCGAGUGCGAAUGAAAAGCCGAACUGACAGCGACAGCAGGGCCACCUCACGUCUCUGUCUGGAAGUUGACUGUGAAUUCGUGCCAAAGCCUCAUUCAUAGCCAGAGUCUUGUGAGAAUCAAAAGAUCCUUCAUUGCACGAAUUUCGACCCCAAUGCGACACCUAGCGGCAAACCUGCGAAUGACAGGCUAGGCAUACCACUCAGGAAUGAACAAUUUGAUGGGAGAAGGAAAUGGCGUUCAUCAUAAUUCUACAAUGGUA